rnacentral:lncRNA from 1 species
GUGAAAGGGUAAGAGCUGAGGGUGGCUGAGACUCGGGGUUGUUCAGGGCGGGGUGGGCUCUGGACCCAGGAGGCCUGGCACCCAGAGGAGCUCUACGGUGACUUUGAAGACUUGGAAACAGGGGACAUGCACAAGGGAAAAUCGGGCCCCGACACUCAGAAUGAAGAUAUAGAGAAACAAGGAAGAAAUUGACCCCGACGAAGAAGAAAGUGCCAAGAAAAAGCAUUUGGAUAAGAAGAGAAAAUUGAAGGAGAUGUUUGAUGCGGAAUAUGAUGAAGGAGAAAGCACAUAUUUUGAUGAUCUUAAAGGAGAAAUGCAGAAAGAAGCACAGCUGAAUCACGUAGAAUUUGAAGAUCAAGAUGAUGAAGCCAGAGUUCAGUAUGAUGGUUUUCGACCUGGGAUGUACGUCCGCGUUGAGAUUGAAAAUGUUCCCUGUGAAUUUGUGCAGAACUUUGACCCCCAUUACCCCAUUAUCCUGGGUGGCUUGGGCAACAGCGAGGGAAAUGUUGGACACGUGCAGAUGCGUCUGAAGAAACAUCGCUGGUAUAAGAAAAUCCUCAAGUCCCAAGAUCCAAUCAUAUUUUCUGUAGGGUGGAGGAGGUUUCAGACCAUCCUGCUCUAUUAUAUUGAAGACCACAAUGGAAGACAAAGGCUUCUAAAGUAUACCCCACAGCACAUGCAUUGUGGAGCAGCCUUUUGGGCCUGAUUUUCGGAUAGCUGCCACAGGAGUUGUCCUUGAUCUGGAUAAAUCCAUAAAAAUUGUGAAGAAAUUAAAGCUAACUGGUUUUCCAUAUAAAAUUUUCAAGAACACUUCAUUUAUUAAGAUAUUGUCUUCAUGCGAACUUGGUAUCCUGUUUCCAUCCCAGCCUUCUAUAACCCAGUAACAUCUUUGUUGAAACCAGUGGGUGAGAAAGACACCUGGUCAGGAAUGUGGACCACGGGCCACCUCGGGCUCGCCCAUGGUGUCAGACUAAAGACAAACAAGGACUCUCUGUAUAAGGUACUGGUCGUGUGUGUGUUAGUGGAGAUGAAGCCUGUGCCCUACAGACAGGGAGUCACGCAGACACUUUUCUAUAAUUUCUUACGUACUUUGAAUGUUCAAGUAUAAAGUCUAAUGUUAAAUUUGAUUGAACAAUUGUAUAUUUGUGGGAUAUUUUGGAAUGGAACACCAAAAAAUGGUAAUAGUGGUUCUUUCUGGAUUGAAGACAAACUUUUCUUUUUUAAAAUAAAUUUUAUUUUAUAUAU